GACGAACGCUGGCGGCGUGCCUAAUACAUGCAAGUAGAACGCUGAAGAGAGGAGCUUGCUCUUCUUGGAUGAGUUGCGAACGGGUGAGUAACGCGUAGGUAACCUGCCUUGUAGCGGGGGAUAACUAUUGGAAACGAUAGCUAAUACCGCAUAACAAUGGAUGACACAUGUCAUUUAUUUGAAAGGGGCAAUUGCUCCACUACAAGAUGGACCUGCGUUGUAUUAGCUAGUAGGUGAGGUAAUGGCUCACCUAGGCGACGAUACAUAGCCGACCUGAGAGGGUGAUCGGCCACACUGGGACUGAGACACGGCCCAGACUCCUACGGGAGGCAGCAGUAGGGAAUCUUCGGCAAUGGGGGCAACCCUGACCGAGCAACGCCGCGUGAGUGAAGAAGAGUUUCGGAUCGUAAAGCUCUGUUGUAAGUCAAGAACGGGUGUGAGAGUGGAAAGUUCACACUGUGACGGUAGCUUACCAGAAAGGGACGGCUAACUACGUG
rnacentral:rRNA from 1 species